AUCCCAGAUAGCUCAGUUGAUUGGAGCAUGGUGCCCAUAAUGCCAAGGUUGCAGGUUCGAUCCCCGUAUGGGACA
rnacentral:tRNA from 1 species